CCCUGUAAGAACAGAGGUACCCAAAAAUCUGAGACCAGAGAGAUAAACAACAGCACAAAAAAAUCCAUGGAAACACGAGCCUCCCAGAAGAUGAAGCAGAAUAGCGAGUUGAAGGAGAGAAACAGCCGACGCAGAGUCAGUGAUGUGCCAGACGAAUUACUCCGCCACAUAUUCUCUCUCCUCCCAUUCAAAUCCAUCGUCCAAACCAGCGUCCUAUCCAAACACUGGAACCACCUAUCCUUAUGGCGCUCCCACCCUCAUCUCGAUUUCUCCCAUCCCUCUCUCGAUUCCACAGCUAUGGAUUUCAUACCCUCGGUGUUGUCUCGCCGCCAACCCGACUCCAAUAUCAUCACCUUCUGCCUCUCCGGUCCUGUAAGUUCCUCUUGCUUGCUCGAUUGCGUCGAACUAGUCAUGGAGCAGGGUAUCGAAGAUCUCGAACUAGACGUUCAUUUAGACUGUGUCGUUGAUCUCCCGCCUAGUUUGUUUAGUUGCAACACGCUUAGGGUUCUCACGUUGAAUCACCAUACCCUAAUCUUCGGGCUAGUUGUCCAGUGAUUUUGGCUGUAAAGGUCUUGUAUACCAGGGCAAGCCUUCCGUCAGUCCACACCUUGUGUCUUACUAAUAUAUGGCUCAAUGCUAGUUCGGAUGUGUUUUCGGGUAGUAAUUUCCCUCUCCUUAGGAAACUGUGCUUGAAGGGUAGUGUAGGAAUGUCUGCUCUCAAUAUCAACUGCCCGGGCCUUGAAAUUUUAGAACUCGAGGGUAGCCUAAAUACUUUGGAUAUUUCUUGCAUUGGGUUACUGGAAUUACAAGUCACAGGGUACUCCCCAUACAUGAAUAGCGUGGCCAAGAUUUUUGCCCCAAGUCUGCGGAGAUUCUACUGGGAUAAGUCUGACAUUUUUCGUGUGCAAUGUAUGACGGAGAGCUUUGAAUACCUCGAUACAAGAAAAUUUUAUUUGCUCCGCUACUGAAAACCACAAAGUCCAGCGGAAUUGCAGAGGGCAGCGACCUUUAUAUCUGCACUCUGUUUUGUCCGAUCUCUGUCCGUCGGAAGGCCAGUUCUCGAGAUUUUGUCAAACAUAGAUUCUGAAAGUGGUCUUCCAUGUUCUUUCAAUAAUCUCGUGACCUUGGAGCUCCAUACUGAGUUAACCAAAGAUCAAGUCACAGGGAUAAUAUGCUUUCUUAGAAGCUCUCCAAUACUCCACACCAUCACCAUAGGUGUAAAUUGUUCCAAGAAUGCACCAGAGAGUUGCAAUGACGAGCGGUAUUGGAGAUCUCAGAGUCGAAAUCUCAAGUCAAUCGAGCAUAUAACCUGAAGGUUGCAAGGAUUGAUAUCCGAGGAACUAAGAUGUUUUUGCUUAGGCAUGAAACAACAUUGCAAGAAAUGACCCUGUCUUUAAAGAGCGACCCUGCGGAUCCUCCUCUUGUUCGACAAACAUUUUGUUCCUAGAUAACGAAGUUUGCACAGCUAUAUUCUAAUGUUAUAAUCUCUUUUCUUCCACAAGACCAGAGCCCCAUAGCAGAGGAGCUUUAGUAGAACUUGUUUGGCAUAUUCUCAUAAGAUAGAUGCUCCUUUUACUUUGUUGCUUUGUUUUCAAUUAAAGCAGACAUUUGUUUGUUUUCUCUUCCGAAUUGAAAAGGCCCCAUAAGUAGUUGUAAGUU